UGGGGAAUAUUGGACAAUGGGGGCAACCCUGAUCCAGCCAUGCCGCGUGAGUGAUGAAGGCCUUCGGGUCGUAAAGCUCUGUGGGGAGGGAAGAAUGGCCGACGGUUAAUACCCGCCGGUUUGACGGUACCUCCUUAGCAAGCACCGGCUAACUCCGUGCCAGCAGCCGCGGUAAUACGGAGGGUGCAAACGUUGCUCGGAAUCAUUGGGCGUAAAGCGCACGUAGGCGGACUGUUAAGUCGGAUGUGAAAGCCCUCGGCUUAACCGAGGAAGUGCAUUCGAAACUGGCAGUCUUGAGUACAGAAGAGGGUCGCGGAAUUCCCGGUGUAGAGGUGAAAUUCGUAGAUAUCGGGAGGAACACCAGUGGCGAAGGCGGCGACCUGGGCUGAUACUGACGCUGAGGUGCGAAAGCGUGGGGAGCAAACAGG
rnacentral:rRNA from 1 species